rnacentral:lncRNA from 1 species
AUUCAAUCAAGCUCAUCCAUUGACAAGAGAUAUCCUUGCUCUGCUGAAAGUCCAAAUUCGAAAACCAUUCAUCAUACUUUCCAAACCAGAAAUCCUAGAAUGAUUUGGCUCACCUAUACUGUUUCAGUGCUUCUCUCUACAGUGGUGUAUUCAAAUGAUCUCAGCAGAUUCACAGGACUUUCCAUUAGUGUCCACCUCAACCAUGUGGAUGAUCCAUCAAUUCUAUUUCUAAUGAUGUAUAUGCAAUGGCACCUAUUUCUAUGGAACAAACAAAACCUGUAGAGAGGAACUAAUAAUAAAGACUGUUGUGAAAUCA